CAACUCUCAACAACGGAUAUCUUGGCUCUCGUAACGAUGAAGAACGCAGCGAAAUGCGAUACGUAGUGUGAAUUGCAGAAUUCCGUGAAUCAUCGAAUCUUUGAACGCAAAUUGCGCUCGAGGCCUUCGGGUCAAGAGCAUGUCUGUUUCAGCGUC
rnacentral:rRNA from 1 species